rnacentral:lncRNA from 1 species
AAGAUGUAGUGUUAUUAAAAAUCUUGAUAAUAAACUUCAAAAAGAAUAUAUAUAAAAAUAUAAUAAAUGAAUCAGCUAUUACAAAAUCUUAAUUCUUUUUCCUCUUAUCUAUACUACAACUUUCGGUUCAACUCUAAACCAAUGUGGAGCACUUUGAAGUAGACGGAUCAUAUAAAGCAGGAAGGAGAUACUUUCUUCCAUUUGUACCAUGCGCAUUAUAACUUGCACCCGUAGUCGAGUCCACCAACAAGUCCCCAGCGUAUCCAGGAUACGCCCCUUUCGCAUACACUCCAGGACACGCAGAUGCAGCCUCUAACGGUGCAUCCGCAUCACCCUGGUUGGAGGAGUCUUGGACUAACUCAGUGAGUCGUCUCGCUCCGAGUGAGAGGUGGAAGAUGGAGAAUAUGAAGAGGAGGUGAAGUAGACGAUGAGUGAAGGCCAUUUUUUGUGACGGUUUUGGAGAAAUUGUUAGAAGGUUGAUAAUGAAAUGAGUUGAAAUGUGUUGU